rnacentral:rRNA from 1 species
AUUGAACGCUGGCGGCAGGCCUAACACAUGCAAGUCGAGCGAGCGGCGGACGGGUGAGUAAUGUCUGGGAAACUGCCUGAUGGAGGGGGAUAACUACUGGAAACGGUAGCUAAUACCGCAUACCAUCAGAUGUGCCCAGAGGGGAUUGGCUGGUAUGUGGGGUAACGGCUCACCUGGGCGACGAUCCCUAGCUGGUCUGAGAGGAUGACCAGCCACACGGGAACGUAGACACGGAGAAGACGCCUAGGCGAGGAAGCAGGGGGGAAUAGUGGACAAUGGGCGCAAGCCUGAUGCAGCCAUGCCGCGUGGGUGAAGAAGGCCUUCGUGUUGUAAAGCAGUAUCAGCGGGGAGGCGUUACCCGCAGAAGAAGCACCGGCUAACUCCGUGCCAGCAGCCGCGGUAAUUC